ACAAACUUGGUCAUUUAGAGGAAGUAAAAGUCGUAACAAGGUAUCCGUAGGUGAACCUGCGGAUGGAUCAUUACCAAUUUAACUUUACAGUUUGUCGUAGUCAUUGCUUCGGCGAUGGGUACACAACUACCAUGUAAACGUUGAACUUGAUCAUCAGUGUUGUGGACUGCCGGUCUGAUUUAUUUCGGUCAGGCAUUCCCCACACUGAUACCACUUUAUAUAUAACAUAUACUACUCGUAUAUACUACAAACAAAAUACAGUUUUAAUAGGACUUAUCAUGGACCGAGUGGGUAACAGCCUCAGUCUUAAAAACAUAAUAACUAUUACAACUUUCAGCAAUGGAUCUCUAGGCUCUCGCAUCGAUGAAGAACGCAGC
rnacentral:misc_RNA from 1 species